rnacentral:rRNA from 1 species
AACGAACGCUGGCGGCAGGCUUAACACAUGCAAGUCGAACGCGUGCAGCAAUGCACGAGUGGCGCACGGGUGAGUAACGAGUGGAUAUCUGCCUUUUGGUUCGGAAUAACCCCGGGAAACUGGGGCUAAUACCGGAGGGUUCCUACGGGAUAAAGAUUUAUCGCCAAAAGAUGAGUCCGCGUCCGAUUAGCUAGUUGGUGAGGUAAUGGCUCACCAAGGCGACGAUCGAUAGCUGGUCUGAGAGGACGGUCAGCCACACUGGGACUGAGACACGGCCCAGACUCCUACGGGAGGCAGCAGUGGGGAAUAUUGGACAAUGGGGGCAACCCUGAUCCAGCCAUGCCGCGUGAGUGAUGAAGGCCUUCGGGUUGUAAAGCUCUUUUGGCGGGGACGAUGAUGACGGUACCCGAAGAAUAAGCCCCGGCUAACUUCGUG